rnacentral:rRNA from 1 species
UACAGAGGGGGGCAAGCGUUAUUCGGAAUUAUUGGGCGUAAAGGGCGCGUAGGCGGCUUGGCAAGUGGAUGGUGAAAUCCCUCGGCUUAACCGAGGAACUGCCGUCCAAACUGCUUUGCUUGAGACCGGGAGAGGUGAGUGGAAUUCCCAGUGUAGCGGUGAAAUGCGUAGAUAUUGGGAGGAACACCAGUGGCGAAGGCGGCUCACUGGACCGGUACUGACGCUGAUGCGCGAAAGCGUGGGGAGCGAACAGG